GGCUUUUUUCGCCGCGGCGGAGCUCGACCGCAAGAUCAGGUGAGCACGGCGGUGCUCGUCGACUACAUCGACGAGCACCGUGUGCGGUUCGGGGUCGAGCCGAUCUGUCGGGUCCUGCGUGAGGCAGGCCUGGCGAUCGCCCCG
rfam:Mobilicoccus pelagius NBRC 104925 DNA, contig: MOPEL138.